rnacentral:rRNA from 1 species
GACGAGGGAUCCUAGCGUUGUUCGGAAUUAUUGGGCGUAAAGCGGGUGUAGGUGGCUAUGUAAGUCAGGUGUGAAAGCCUGGGGCUCAACCCCAGAAGUGCAUCUGAUACUGCGUAGCUUGAGUGCUAGAGAGGAUAGUAGAAUUCUUGGUGUAGUGGUGAAAUACGUAGAUAUCAAGAGGAAUACCGGUGGCGAAGGCGGCUAUCUGGCUAGACACUGACACUCAGACCCGAAAGUGCGGGGAUCAAACAGG